UCCAUCCCUUGUAACACUCCACCUAUUGUUCGGUUUAUCUGAACACUGUGACCUCUAUCCUUCCUGCUCAUCUUCCUGUGUUCCUAGGCAUGUUGGGGCAGAGCUCAGAUGAGGUCUCCUGAGAUCUUCAUUGUAAAGCAAUUUGCUGUCAAAAGCCCUAACGGAAUCCAAGCUGUUAGUGCCAAGUUGUUCCAAGAAUGUGUUGAUUCCAAGCAGAAUGGGCUGAACUAGCUAGACCUGAGAACAAGGUCUGGAGACAGAGGAUGGACAUCGAGGGUCAUAAGGAUCCAAAGAUUCUGAAAAGAAAUAUGCCUUAGAACAAAGAUUGUAGUCUACCACCUCCAUGUUUUUCUGAGGAGGAAACUGAAGCCCAGAGAGAGGAAAGAACAUUCCCAAGGUCUCAGAAGAGGAUGUGCCUGUAGUCUAGAAAGGAAGAAAAAUAGGUUCCUGUUAGGACUAAAAGAAAGGCGGAGACCGAGGCUCAGAAGUGGGAAGCAACAUAUUCAAGGUCACCCCAAAAGUUAAAUCAGUAAAGGUUGGUGCCUUUGUUGCAGAAUAAUAAAUAAUAACCUAGCUGUGGCCCUGACUGUUCCCUGGCCUUAAGCCCGGGCUCUGAGCUCCUGCCCAUCUCAGGGGCUGCGUCAGCUUUGUUUCUCGAUUGCACAAGAAGCAGACAUUGUGAAUCCAAGGCUCCUAGAACCUCGGGUUGAAACACAACUCCAGAAGGAUCAUCCAGCUUCUUCUUGAAGACCUCCAGGGAUGGGAAACUCACCGUCUCCUGAGGCAUCCCAUUCCACUUGGCAGAUAACUUGAUGAGGGAGUUUUGCUUUGUGUCAAGAAGGAAUCUGGCUCUCAGAAACUUCUCUCUUUGGUCUCUAAUUCCAUCUUAUGGGACACAGCAGAAUAAACAAGCCAGAAAUGUUUGUUCUGUGCCCAUAACAGCCCGAAAGAUACCUAGAAACGAUGAUCUUGUACCAGCUGAAGGCUUCUCUGUUCCAGGCAUUUGUCCUAAAGGAUUUGCUCUCCCUGUCUGAGAGGAUUCGGCCACUAUUGACCUGAAGAAUGGAAAGGAGAAAGAAUGUGUGUGUGUGUGUGUGUGUGUGUGUGUGUGUGUGUGAGUGUAUCUGUGUGUG